CAGGGCUGAUAAACAGCUCCUCCUGUGGGAUGGUCACAAAUUCUCCUUUCCAUCAGAAGCUGUGUCCUGCUAUCCUUAAUCUCUGCAUCCUGGCAGAGAUUUCAAAUGCCAAGGAGAUUAUCACAGAAGUCUAAGGAUGACUGAGCAUAGGAAAUACCAUUAAUUAUGAAAAGCCCCAUGAACACUUCCAGAGAUUCAGAAAGAUAACGUCCAAAAUGCUGGGGACAGUGAAGGAGGAGGCAGGGCUUCAUGAACCAAAGGGAGUGUGGUGGGGAGAUAACAUCUGUCUAGACCUGAUGUGGCCUUGUAGCACCUUGAAGGAUCUGGCUUUUGCUUGGAGUGAGACCAUAUGAGGCAAGCAGAAUACUGCCUUACAGAAUUACCAUUGUCUGCCGAGAAUGCAUAGAGGGAUAACUGACAAAGCCUGGAGUCAUCUUUGACUGCCACAACUCGAAAAGUAGGGUGUUCUAUGAAUUCCUGAGGUAAGGCUGGGACAUCUGAAAGGCAAAGCCUCUCCACGACAUGGAAUCAGUCAGCUGAAAAUGUCAGCCGUGCUAAGGCUGAGAGGCUGCAUCAGUUCACUGAUCUUUGCAAUCAUCCCCAAGAUUCAAGGGACCUCUUCUGUUGCUAUGGGAGCUGUCAGCAUUCCUCAGAACAUUCAAGGACAGGACAUCUUGAGGCUAGAACUACAGAGGAGAGCUCCCAUGGAAGGGCUCCCUUGGAACCAUCUGCACAGACAGAAGGGAAGACAAGAGCAAUUUGAUACGCGCUCACCCUGUGCCCCUCUUCCACAGUGCCACCCAUGUUGAUGAUGUACCGUCUCUUUGGAAGUCCCUCUGGAGGGCCUGAGAUCAGGGAAUCUGUGCAAAGUGUACCUUUUGAUGGACAUACUAAUUUAGAUUUGUAUUGCAUUGUAAGAAUUAAAUUAUUAUUG